rnacentral:rRNA from 1 species
CGUGCCAGCAGCCGCGGUAAUACGAAGGUGGCAAGCGUUAUUCGGAAUCAUUGGGCUUAAAGGGCACGCAGGCGGAACAGUGUGUGUUGUGUGAAAUCCCCCGGCUUGACCGGGGAAUUGCACAGCAAACUGCUGUUCUUGAGGCAGGUAGGGGUGCAUGGAACUCUUGGUGGAGCGGUGGAAUGCGUAGAUAUCAAGAGGAACGCCAGAGGUGAAGACGGUGCACUGGGCCUGUCCUGACGCUGAGGUGCGAAAGCGUGGGGAGCGAACGGGAUUAGAUACCCCGGUAGUCCACGCCGUAAACGAUGUCUACUAGGUCGUGGGUGUUCUGACACAUUCACGGCCGGAGCAAAAGUGUUUAGUAGACCGCCUGGGGAGUACGGCCGCAAGGUUAAAACUCAAAUGAAUUGACGGGGGCUCACACAAGCGGUGGAGCAUGUGGAUUAAUUCGAAGCAACGCGCAGAACCUUACCUGGGUUUGACAUGCUUGUAUGCCUUCUCUGAAAGGAGUUAGGCUGCCUUCGGGCGAAACUUGCACAGGUGCUGCAUGGCUGUCGUCAGCUCGUGUCAUGAGAUGUCGGGUUAAGUCCUUUAACGAGCGAAACCCUUGCCGUUAGUUGCCAGCGAGUAAUGUCGGGGACUCUAACGGGACUGCCGGUGUUAAACCGGAGGAAGGUGGGGAUGACGUCAAGUCCUCAUGGCCUUUAUGCCCAGGGCUUCACACGUGCUACAAUGGCAAUUACAGAGCGACGCGAUACCGCGAGGUGGAGCAAAUCGCAAAAAAAUUGCCUCAGUUCGGAUUGCAGGCUGGCAAUUCGCCUGCAUGAAGUCGGAAUCGCUAGUA